rnacentral:rRNA from 1 species
CGGCGGAACACGUGAAAUUCCGUCGGAAUCCGGGAGGACCAUCUCCCAAGGCUAAAUACUCCCUAGUGACCGAUAGUGAACCAGUACCGUGAGGGAAAGGUGAAAAGCACCCCGGAAGGGGAGUGAAACAGUUCCUGAAACCGUGUGCCUACAAGUAGUUAGAGCCCGUUAAUGGGUGAUAGCGUGCCUUUUGUAGAAUGAACCGGCGAGUUACGAUUUGUUGCAAGGUUAAGCGGAAAAAGCGGAGCCGUAGCGAAAGCGAGUCUGAAUAGGGCGCAUAAGUAACAGGUCGUAGACCCGAAACCAGGUGAUCUACCCAUGUCCAGGAUGAAGGUAAGGUAAUACUUACUGGAGGUCCGAACCCACGCACGUUGAAAAGUGCGGGGAUGAGGUGUGGGUAGCGGAGAAAUUCCAAUCGAACUUGGAGAUAGCUGGUUCUCUCCGAAAUAGCUUUAGGGCUAGCCUCGAGGUAAAGAGUCAUGGAGGUAGAGCACUGUUUGGACUAGGGGCCCUUCUCGGGUUACCGAAUUCAGAUAAACUCCGAAUGCCAUGUACUUAUACUCGGGAGUCAGACUGCGAGUGAUAAGAUCCGUAGUCGAAAGGGAAACAGCCCAGACCACCAGUUAAGGUCCCCAAAUAUAUGUUAAGUGGAAAAGGAUGUGGGGUUGCUUAGACAACCAGGAUGUUGGCUUAGAAGCAGCCACCAUUGAAAGAGUGCGUAAUAGCUCACUGGUCGAGUGACCCCGCGCCGAAAAUGUACCGGGGCUAAACAUAUUACCGAAACUGUGGAUGAACCUCAUUAGAGGUUCGUGGUAGGAGAGCGUUCUAAGGGCGGUGAAGUCAGACCGGAAGGACUGGUGGAGCGCUUAGAAGUGAGAAUGCCGGUAUGAGUAGCGAAAGAAGGGUGAGAAUCCCUUCCACCGAAUAUCUAAGGUUUCCUGAGGAAGGCUCGUCCGCUCAGGGUUAGUCGGGACCUAAGCCGAGGCCGAUAGGCGUAGGCGAUGGACAACAGGUAGAGAUUCCUGUACCAGUGCUAAUUGUUUAACCGAUGGGGUGACACAGAAGGAUAGGGAAUCGCACGAAUGGAAAUGUGCGUCCAAGCAGUGAGUGUGAGAAGUAGGCAAAUCCGCUUCUCGCGAAGCAUGAGCUGUGAUGGGGAAGGAAAUUAAGUACGGAAGUUCCUGAUUUCACGCUGUCAAGAAAAGCCUCUAGGAAGAGUAGUACUGCCCGUACCGCAAACCGACACAGGUAGAUGAGGAGAGAAUCCUAAGGUGAGCGAGAGAACUCUCGUUAAGGAACUCGGCAAAAUGACCCCGUAACUUCGGGAGAAGGGGUGCUCUAUUAGGGUGCAAGCCCGAGAGAGCCGCAGUGAAUAGGCCCAGGCGACUGUUUAGCA